AACGCACGAGACCUGCGGACCUGCGGAAGGAUCAUUAAAACAUUGUCCACAAACAUGGAUAAUUAAUAUCCAUAUCCACCUUGUGUGAACUAUUGACAUGUAAGUUGGCAGGUGAAACCUACACAUAGUGUGUGGGGGAUGUCAGUCAAGUUCGACUGAUUUCAUUGAAGAGUUUUCUUCGGCCUGCCAAUAUUUUAGUCUAUACGCGUCUAUUGUAAAACAUUUGACUAAAAUUAUAUU
rnacentral:misc_RNA from 1 species